GACGAACGCUGGCGGCGUGCUUAACACAUGCAAGUCGAACGGUAAGGCCCUUCGGGGUACACGAGUGGCGAACGGGUGAGUAACACGGGGGUGAUCUGCCCUGCACUUCGGGAUAAGCCUGGGAAACUGGGUCUAAUACCGGAUAGGACCCUGGGAUGCAUGUCCUGGGGUGGAAAGCUUUUGCGGUGUGGGAUGGGCCCGCGGCCUAUCAGCUUGUUGGUGGGGUGAUGGCCUACCAAGGCGAUGACGGGUAGCCGGCCUGAGAGGGUGACCGGCCACAUUGGGACUGAGAUACGGCCCAGACUCCUACGGGAGGCAGCAGUGGGGAAUAUUGCACAAUGGGCGCAAGCCUGAUGCAGCGACGCCGCGUGAGGGAUGACGGCCUUCGGGUUGUAAACCUCUUUCAGCACCGACGAAGCGCAAGUGACGGUAGGUGCAGAAGAAGGACCGGCCAACUACGUGCCAGCCGCCGCCGUAA
rnacentral:rRNA from 1 species